rnacentral:rRNA from 1 species
UACGGGGGGAGCAAGCGUUGUUCGGAUUUACUGGGCGUAAAGGGCGCGUAGGCGGCCAGCACAAGUCAGUUGUGAAAUCUCCGAGCUUAACUCGGAAAGGUCAACUGAUACUGUGCGGCUAGAGUGCGGAAGGGGCAGCUGGAAUUCUUGGUGUAGCGGUGAAAUGCGUAGAUAUCAAGAGGAACACCUGCGGCGAAGGCGGGUUGCUGGGCCGACACUGACGCUGAGGCGCGAAAGCUAGGGGAGCGAACGGG